rnacentral:rRNA from 1 species
GACGAACGCUGGCGGCGUGCUUAACACAUGCAAGUCGAACGGUAAGGCCCUUCGGGGUACACGAGUGGCGAACGGGUGAGUGACACGUGGGUGAUCUGCCCUGCACUUCGGGAUAAGCCUGGGAAACUGGGUCUAAUACCGGAUAGGACCACUGCCUGCAUGGGUGGUGGUGGAAAGCUUUUGCGGUGUGGGAUGGGCCCGCGGCAUAUCAGCUUGUUGGUGGGGUGAAGGCCUACCAAGGUGACGACGGGUAGCCGGCCUGAGAGGGUGACCGGCCACACUGGGGCUGAGAUACGGCCCAGCCUCCUACGGGAGGCAGCAGUGGGGAAUAUGGCACGAUGGGCGCAAGCCUGAUGCAGCGGCGCCGCGUGAGGGAGGACGGCCUUCGGGUUGUAAACCUCUUUCAGCACCGACGAAGCGCAAGUGACGGUAGGUGCAGAAGAAGGACCGGCCAACUACGUGCCAGCCGCCGCGGUAA